AACGAACGCUGGCGGCAUGCCUAACACAUGCAAGUCGAACGAGAACUUCGGGUCUGGUGGUGAAGGGGUGCGUAAGGCGUGGGAAUAUGUCCUUAGGUGCGGGAUAGCUCCCCGUAAGGGGUGCUAAUAUCGGCUAAUGUCUCCGGCCCAAAUCUGUUGAGAGCUUGGAUGGGCCCGCGUUGGCUUAGCUAGUGAGGAGGGUAAAAGCCUACCAAGGCGGGGAGAUAUAGAUGGUCUGAGAGGAAGAUCAGCGACACUUGGACUGAGACGCAGUCCAGAAUCUUACGCAAUGCGGGAGUGGGUGAUAUUGCACAAUGGGGGGAAGGAUGAUCGAGCUAGGCCGGGUGAGUGAUGAAGUCCUUAGGGUAGUAAAGCUCUUUUACCCGGGAUGAUAAUGACGGUACCGGAAGAAUAAGCUCCGGCUAACUACGUG
rnacentral:rRNA from 1 species